CUUUCAUUGGGCUGUUGCUGGAUGGGAGUGCCUCUUUCCACAGAUUAUUUAGCUGCCAGGGAUUUCAGAGAGCCAAAAAGAGUUAAGAUAGGCUGGCUGUGCUCCAGGUUGUGUGUCGUUGUCUCAUUGUGGAUGCUGAGGAUGUUAGCACUCUGAAGGAAGCUUUUGUGUCAUCUGACAGGAAUCAUUGAACACUGACUGGACUCCAGCACAAUGCAGCUCGUUUUCACUGUCUGAAUUUCGUCUGCACCCAUGAAAAGCAAGUCAGAGGUGUGAGAAGACUGCUUCACCUUGGACUUGCCUUUGUUGUGUUUUGUGUUUUUUCUAGAGAGCCACUGCAAGGCCCAGGAUGAAGAGAGACAGUGAGAAGAUCCCAACCAUUUAUCACUGACACCGGCAUCUGUGGUCUCAGAAUGAAAUCCCAAAAUGAUGCAGGAGUGCCCCCUCGUGACUUGAAGCACCUGCUCAGCUGGAAACUGAAUUUCAGAUCCUUCCAGCGGUCCCUGCAGUCGGGUCCAGUGGAGAAGGAGGCAUUUCAGGACUGUGAAGUGAUUGCUGGAAACCGCUCUUCUAACUCCAUUCCAGAAAGAGUCUGUGUGCAAGAAUCUGGCCCCAUGGGGAUUGGAAUAUAAUCUGGUGAAGAUGUGGGACCCCAUACACCCCUCACCAGAUAAUAUCUUCACCCCAUCUGACUUUAUUGCUGCUCACACUCUCUGAUGUAGAAUGAUAUCUCAAGACAAUGAAGGAGUGCCACCUCAGGAUGUCAAGCACCUUCUCAGAUUGGAAGCCGACUCCAGGAAAAUUCAAGGGCCCUGCAAAAAGGACUGCUACUGUCUCUCUCUUGGAUCGUGGAACAAUUCCUUCGAUCCCACAGAGAAGACAGGUGAGAGUCCACUGCCUACGCACCUACCUGGAGGUUUCCUUCUCCAAACAGCCGCUGAAACUUUUUUCUAGGCAACGGUGGCAUUCAUUGUGAAGCUAACCAGAGUUCAACCUCAGGCCUGGUCCCUUGAGACUACUGCAGGUUCAUUCAGGAGACAGGCUGAGGCACCUGUCUCUCAGAGCUGGCAGCCUGCCUAAGCAGAGGAAAAUG
rnacentral:lncRNA from 1 species